GGGAAUCUGCCAUGUAGAAUAUAUGAAAUAAUAACGAUGUAACUCUGUAACUGGUAGAGGUCAAAUAUACGUUUUUGAUAGCCAAAUGCCUCGUCAUCUAAUUAGUGACGCGCAUGAAUGGAUUAACGAGAUUCCC
rnacentral:misc_RNA from 13 species